GACGGAGGGGGCAAGCGUUGUCCGGACUCACUGGGCGUAAAGCGCACGUAGGCGGUUCGUUGCGUCGGUGCUGAAAGCGCCAGGCUUAACCUGGCGAGGCGUGCCGAUACGAGCGAACUGGAGGCAGGCAGAGGGUGGCGGAAUUCCGGGUGUAGUGGUGAAAUGCGUAGAGAUCCGGAGGAACGCCUGUGGCGCAAGCGGCCACCUGGGCCUGACCUGACGCUGAGGUGCGAAAGCGUGGGGAGCGAACCGG
rnacentral:rRNA from 1 species